UACCAAGGACACCAUAAGAAAUGCGGUUUAAUUUCUAGCAAUUUAUUUAUGUAACUGUUUUUAAUUAUUUGCCAUUAAUUUAACGAUUAAUUGGAACUCAUUUUAUUGGAAAAAUAGUUUUUAUAUUGGUUUGUGAUCCAGUUAAUAAUUUGACAAAAAUCAAUUUUAUGUGUUUAGACAAGCAAAAACUGCGUGACAAUAACAACUGUUAACCAAAAAAGCCAAAAGCGUCUUAUGUCGUUUAAAAAUUAAUGAUUGACAAAUGAUCGUGUUAAUUUUAACAUUAAACAAACGGAUUAAAUGACUUCCUGAUUGUGAUUUGAAGAUCCUACACUGAUUAGAUUAUCAGUUCAUCAAAACAAUCUGAUGUCGCACAUCACUUUGGUUUUAUCAUCGUUAAUUUUGUUGGCCACUAAAUGCAUUUCUGGCCAAAUGAUUUGGUAAUUGGAUUAAACUCUUGGUUAGCUGAUUCCAGGAAAUCUCAAUUGAUUCUGAUAAUGGCUCUGAUGGUGAUGAUCAGGAUGGAAUCAAACAAAAACAAAGCAUCGAGAUAUAAUCAUAAGAUAAUUGAGAAAAUACGUAACUUAUUGUGAAUUUGAUCCGUUAAUUCAGCUGGUAACAUUCAACAAUCAACAUUCGAUUGGCAAAAGAUGAUAACUCGAUCUACCUAACUGAAAGCCACACAAGCAAUAUUAUUAUGGAUAAGCUGAUGCCGAUCAAUGAUGUGGUUUGAUGCUGAUCAAGAAGCUUGAAUUUUAAAGUUUGACCAUUGAUUAACUCCCACGGAUGAAACACAUUUAAGUGAUAGGAACAACCAAACCUGUAAAAUUUGAACCCAACGAACGUAAACUCUGGAUAUCGUUUGAUCAUUCAAAAUUGGACGUGAUUACUACCAUAACAAUAGGCUUAAAAGGAGAGGACAUUCAAAAUUUAGUGCCAUUUCUAGUUCAGGUGUACUUGUGUUAUGUAACAAUUUUACGGAAAGGCCUGAUGACUUUAUAACAUAGAGUCUAAACUAAACCCAAGAGUGACAAUAAAAAGAGAAAUGAUUCCGUCUUGAUUGUCCACUUAAUCAAAGUGCCAAAAGCUGCUAAUUUGCUUCAUUUUUCAAGGUGGUUCAAUGUUAUCAACCUAAUAAUUGGUAGUAAAGUAAACUCGGAUAAUCAAAUUUCCUGAAAGUUUGAACAAUAAGCAGAUGGAACGUGAUGAUAAGUAAACUAUAAAAUGUUAACAAUCUUGAUGAUAAAAAUUUAAGGUUAAAAAGUUUGAUAAUAAUGCGAAUGGCUCAAGAUGUUGGAAAAAAAGUUGGUUUAUUUGGUCAUUUUUUGGAGGCUCUUCAAACUUUUGGGACAAUUUAAUUUAUUCAAAGUGCAAUGAAAUUUAUGUGUGACUUUUUUGAAGGUGAAAUCUGACUUGGUUAAUGAAACAAUUAAUGAGCAAUUCAGUGUUAAAAAAUUGGCAACACUUGUGACUAUGAUGGACUAAUGAAAAAUCCUUGUUUAUUUAUGAAUAAUGAAUCUUAAGGAGAGCACUAAAUGGAGAUCUCAACGCAAAUUAAAUAUUAACUUUCAUCUUUUGUCAAGGAAAUUGCAAUUAAACUGUUUAAUGGGAAAUCAUUUUGGACCAAAUCAGCGGAAAAUUACAAUUGAAAUGGAUAGAUAAACAACUUGUUAAUUGUAAUGAUAAUACACAUGCAAAGUAGGGGAAAUCAAUCUCGAUUUUUGACAACACCAAGCCCCAUUUCAUGUCAUUGAUUGACCAAGAUUAUGAAUUAAUGAAGAAAAGCCUGUUGAAAUUGUAAACACAUUCAACUUUUCAACAGUUGCAACUUACCAAUCAAGUCUUAAAAAAAUCAAACAAUCUGUACAUAUGAUUUUGGUUAAUGACGAGACGUCAACAUCUGGUUUACCCAAAAAUGUACAAUUUUCUCAUCAUUUACAAAUGAUUACUAAAUGUUUCAAUCAUCACCAGAUCAAGGAACCAAUGUGAACCCAAUGUUUAAAGAUAUUUCCCGGUUGAACCAGGAUUACCAUUUCUUUACCAUCCAAAGUGAUUAGGUGUGUGAACGGCAACAUAAAAUAGUAUCAAAAUCACAGCAACGUGUUAAUUUUUGUGGUAAACACAAAACGAUAGAUUUCAAUUGAGAGUAGGAGUAAUCAUGAUUUGUUUCACUAUUCAUCAACACUAGGUUAAUCUCGUGCAAGGUCAGGUUUUCUUAGGUGAGGUAAAUUUUUUGUGUGUUAGUGUUUUAAUAUUGAUGAAUUGGUUUACAAAAAGCGCUUUUCUUACCCAAUAAGUUGAUAUUAAUCUAGAUUAAUUUGGAUGGAUCGAUAAUAUUAAUAAUGAAGUGAAUCAAAAGGAGUUGCUUUUAAUCACCUUUCAUCAGACAAAAUAAGGUGCUAAUGAAUUUUUUAUCCAUUAUCAAUAAGUUAGUUUAAAGGCUAAAGAGCAUUUUAUGUUCACCGAUUGAUAUAGUUGUUAACACAUAACAAUAGGGUUGACCUGUUGUUAUAUAUUGCUUUGGUUACUGAUUUUUUUCCGCUCACAAAACCAUUCAAUCGGUUUACAUGAUGAUGAAAAGCUAAACCAUUUGAACCUGAUUCGGUAACAAUGAAUAUCAUGUAGCAUUAAUAAUAAGCCAGAUAGCUUGAUUGAAAUGCUAACGGGAAACAAGAAAGAAAGGAAGAAGAAGAUGAUUGUUGAAUGAAUAAAUGAAUGAAAAUGAUGAUGUUUCUUGGAUGUAUUAGUAGUUUGUUUUAUUGUUUAUCAUGAUAGCUUGUUGAUUUAUAAUAAUUUAUCAAAGGGAAACAACUUACCGUGCA